rnacentral:rRNA from 1 species
UACGUAGGUGGCAAGCGUUGUUCGGAAUUAUUGGGCGUAAAGGGCGCGUAGGCGGUUUGUUAAGUCGGCUGUGAAAGCCCGGGGCUCAACCCCGGAGGGUCAGCCGAUACUGGCAGACUAGAGUACGGAAGAGGUAGCUGGAAUUCCCGGUGUAGCGGUGAAAUGCGUAGAUAUCAGGAGGAACACCGGUGGCGAAGGCGGGUCUCUGGGCCGAAAUUGACGCUGAGGAGCGAAAGCGUGGGGAGCAAACAGG